rnacentral:misc_RNA from 1 species
ACGGAUCAGCGCCGGCUGCUC